rnacentral:rRNA from 2 species
GCUACCCGCUGACGAGCGGCGGACGGGUGAGUAAUGCAUAGGAAUCUGCCCGAUAGUGGGGGAUAACCUGGGGAAACCCAGGCUAAUACCGCAUACGUCCUACGGGAGAAAGGGGGCUCCGGCUCCCGCUAUUGGAUGAGCCUAUGUCGGAUUAGCUAGUUGGUGAGGUAAAGGCUCACCAAGGCGACGAUCCGUAGCUGGUCUGAGAGGAUGAUCAGCCACAUCGGGACUGAGACACGGCCCGAACUCCUACGGGAGGCAGCAGUGGGGAAUAUUGGACAAUGGGCGAAAGCCUGAUCCAGCCAUGCCGCGUGUGUGAAGAAGGCCCUCGGGUUGUAAAGCACUUUCAGCGAGGAAGAACGCCUAGUGGUUAAUACCCAUUAGGAAAGACAUCACUCGCAGAAGAAGCACCGGCUAACUCCGUGCCAGCAGCCGCGGUAAUACGGAGGGUGCAAGCGUUAAUCGGAAUUACUGGGCGUAAAGCGCGCGUAGGUGGCUUG